AAGCUCAGGUAAAAUUUUCAUUAUUUAUAUUUUGAAAGAUAAUGAUUGGUCAAGCGUAUAUAUGGGAUUAUGAAUACUUUCUAGCACAUUGAAAAGCUUUAUAACUAAAUUUAUAUUAUUACAAAAAAUCUGGGUACCUUACCUUGUGAUUAUGGUUGAAGGACGCAUCAAAUGUUAGUAGAAAGCGCGAUGCCGGAUAAUAUCACAACUUGUAUUUUUUUAAAAAUUAUGGAUUUAAAAAAUAAAAAAAUAAAAAAACAGGUGGUGGUAGGAUAAUAUCGACAGGUCGGAUAUUAUAGUAAUCAUUAGGUUCAUAGUCACCAUCACGUGUAGAGUGCAGUCUUUGGGGGAUUUGGCUGAGGCCGAGAGGAAUUUUGUAACCAUUCAAAAGCAAGAUGAGUCAUCUCUUUCACUUUAGUCUCUGCAAGUUUUAGAUGAAACGGAACUACUAUCAAUUAGUUUAGUGGUAUUUGUCUCUACUUAAUUGAUCCAGAGAUUCAAAUACAACUCAAGUAAAUAACGACGAUGACAAUAUAUAUAUACAAUGAAUUUAACAUCUAAUUGUGACUAACUUCAUUGUUAUAUUAUAACUUUAUCGCAAAUAUAUUAAAUCAUCG
rnacentral:lncRNA from 1 species